CCAGCAGAUCCGCAUCCCGUUGCCGCCAUCAUUACUCCAACAACAACACCGAUUGAUGGCAACUUUAGGGUGAGACAAAACGGAAGGCGCGAGGAGGAGCCAAAGGUUGCAGAGACCAUGAUUCUGAGUUGGGCUUUUAACUGCACAUUGGAGACUGGUCAAUCACAAUUUCAAACAGCUGUGCUAACCCUGUUACAAAGAUG